UACAGAGGGUGCGAGCGUUAAUCGGAAUUACUGGGCGUAAAGGGCGCGUAGGCGGUGUAUUAAGUUAGAUGUGAAAUCCCUGGGCUUAACCUAGGAACUGCAUCUGAUACUGGUACGCUAGAGUGCAGUAGAGGGUAGUGGAAUUUCCGGUGUAGCGGUGAAAUGCGUAGAUAUCGGAAGGAACACCAGUGGCGAAGGCGGCUACCUGGACUGACACUGACGCUGAGGCGCGAGAGCGUGGGGAGCAAACAGG
rnacentral:rRNA from 1 species